rnacentral:rRNA from 1 species
GGUGGCGAGUGGCGAACGGGUGAGUAAUACAUCGGAACGUACCCAGAAGUGGGGGAUAACGUAGCGAAAGUUACGCUUAAUACCGCAUACGUUCUACGGAAGAAAGUGGGGGAUCGCAAGACCUCAUGCUUUUGGAGCGGCCGAUGUCUGAUUAGCUAGUUGGUGAGGUAAAGGCUCACCAAGGCGACGAUCAGUAGCUGGUCUGAGAGGACGACCAGCCACACUGGAACUGAGACGCGGUCCAGACUCCUACGGGAGGCAGCAGUGGGGAAUUUUGGACAAUGGGCGCAAGCCUGAUCCAGCAAUGCCGCGUGAGUGAAGAAGGCCUUCGGGUUGUAAAGCUCUUUUGUCAGGGAAGAAACGGCAGAUGGCUAAUAUCC